UACGUAGGGGGCAAGCGUUGUCCGGAAUCAUUGGGCGUAAAGAGCGUGUAGGCGGCCAGAUAAGUCCGCUGUGAAAUCUCGAGGCUCAACUUCGAGCUGUCGGUGGAAACUGUCUGGCUAGAGUCCGGAAGAGGAGAAUGGAAUUCCUGGUGUAGCGGUGAAAUGCGUAGAUAUCGAGAGGAACACCUGCGGCGAAGGCGGGUUGCUGGGCUGACACUGACGCUGAUGCGCGAAAGCCAGGGGAGCGAACGGG
rnacentral:rRNA from 1 species